rnacentral:rRNA from 1 species
CCCCACAUUGGAACUGAGACACGGUCCAAACUCCUACGGGAGGCAGCAGUGAGGAAUAUUGGUCAAUGGACGAGAGUCUGAACCAGCCAAGUAGCGUGAAGGAUGACUGCCCUAUGGGUUGUAAACUUCUUUUAUAUGGGAAUAAAAUGUUCCACGUGUGGGAUUUUGUAUGUACCAUAUGAAUAAGGAUCGGCUAACUCCGUGCCAGCAGCCGCGGUAAUACGGAGGAUCCGAGCGUUAUCCGGAUUUAUUGGGUUUAAAGGGAGCGUAGGUGGAUUGUUAAGUCAGUUGUGAAAGUUUGCGGCUCAACCGUAAAAUUGCAGUUGAAACUGGCAGUCUUGAGUACAGUAGAGGUGGGCGGAAUUCGUGGUGUAGCGGUGAAAUGCUUAGAUAUCACGAAGAACUCCGAUUGCGAAGGCAGCUCACUGGACUGCAACUGACACUGAGGCUCGAAAGUGUGGGUAUCAAACAGGAUUAGAUACCCUGGUAGUCCACACAGUAAACGAUGAAUACUCGCUGUUUGCGAUAUAC